rnacentral:rRNA from 1 species
UACGAAGGGGGCUAGCGUUGCUCGGAAUCACUGGGCGUAAAGGGCGCGUAGGCGGCUUUAUAAGUCGGGGGUGAAAGCCUGUGGCUCAACCACAGAAUUGCCUUCGAUACUGUAGGGCUUGAGACCGGAAGAGGUAAGUGGAACUGCGAGUGUAGAGGUGAAAUUCGUAGAUAUUCGCAAGAACACCAGUGGCGAAGGCGGCUUACUGGUCCGGUUCUGACGCUGAGGCGCGAAAGCGUGGGGAGCAAACAGG